rnacentral:miRNA from 1 species
AACCUCAUUGGCCAGAAGGGAUUCCUUCCGGUUGAUGAGGUAUAACAACAUCAUCGGCCGGAAGGGAUUCCUUCCGGUUGAUGAGGUA